rnacentral:rRNA from 1 species
UACGUAGGUCCCGAGCGUUAUCCGGAAUUAUUGGGCGUAAAGGGCGCGCAGGUGGCUGUGUAAGUUUGAUGUGAAAUUUUUGGGCUCAACCCAAAAAGGUCAUUGGAAACUGCACGGCUUGAGAGCAGGAGAGGUAAGUGGAAUUCCUAGUGUAGCGGUGAAAUGCGUAGAGAUUAGGAGGAACACCAGUGGCGAAGGCGGCUUACUGGACUGCAUCUGACACUGAGGCGCGAAAGCGUGGGUAGCAAACAGG